GACGAACGCUGGCGGCGUGCCUAAUACAUGCAAGUAGAACGCGGAAGGAGGAGCUUGCUUCUCUGGAUGAGUUGCGAACGGGUGAGUAACGCGUAGGUAACCUGCCUGGUAGCGGGGGAUAACUAUUGGAAACGAUAGCUAAUACCGCAUAAGAGUAGAUGUUGCAUGACAUUUGCUUAAAAGGUGCAAUUGCAUCACUACCAGAUGGACCUGCGUUGUAUUAGCUAGUUGGUGGGGUAACGGCUCACCAAGGCGACGAUACAUAGCCGACCUGAGAGGGUGAGCGGCCACACUGGGACGGAGACACGGCCCAGACUGCUACGGGAGGCAGCAGUAGGGAAUCUUCGGCAAUGGACGGAAGGCUGACCGAGCAACGCCGCGUGAGUGAAGAAGGUUUUCGGAUCGUAAAGCUCUGUUGUACGAGAAGAACGAGUGUGAGAGUGGAAAGUGCACACUGUGACGGUAUCUUACCAGAAAGGGACGGCUAACUACGUG
rnacentral:rRNA from 1 species